ACGGGUGAGUAACACGUGGGUGAUCUGCCCUGCACUCUGGGAUAAGCCUGGGAAACUGGGUCUAAUACCGGAUAGGACCACACACUUCAUGGUGAGUGGUGCAAAGCUUUUGCGGUGUGGGAUGAGCCCGCGGCCUAUCAGCUUGUUGGUGGGGUAAUGGCCCACCAAGGCGACGACGGGUAGCCGGCCUGAGAGGGUGACCGGCCACACUGGGACUGAGAUACGGCCCAGACUCCUACGGGAGGCAGCAGUGGGGAAUAUUGCACAAUGGGCGCAAGCCUGAUGCAGCGACGCCGCGUGAGGGAUGACGGCCUUCGGGUUGUAAACCUCUUUCAGUAGGGGCGAAGCGAAAGUGACGGUACCUACAGAAGAAGGACCGGCCAACUACGUGCCAGCAGCCGCGGUAAUACGUAGGGUCCGAGCGUUGUCCGGAAUUACUGGGCGUAAAGAGCUCGUAGGUGGUUUGUCGCGUUGUUCGUGAAAACUCACAGCUUAACUGUGGGCGUGCGGGCGAUACGGGCAGACUAGAGUACUGCAGGGGAGACUGGAAUUCCUGGUGUAGCGGUGGAAUGCGCAGA
rnacentral:rRNA from 1 species